AGCAGCCGCGGUAAUUCCAGCUCCAAUAGCGUAUAUUAAAGUUGUUGCAGUUAAAAAGCUCGUAGUUGAAUUUCGGGAUCAAUAUAUCGGUCGUGCCUUGGUACGUACUGGUAUCAUUGGUUUCUCCUUUCUGACGAACCAUGGUGUCAUUAAUUUGGUGUUAUGGGAAGUUAGGACUGUUACUUUGAAAAAAUUUAGAGUGUUUAAAGCAAGCUAACGCUUGAAUACAUUAGCAUGGAAUAAUGAAAUAGGACGUUCGAUCCUAUUUUGUUGGUUUCUAGGAUUGACGUAAUGAUUAAUAGGGAUAGUUGGGGGCAUUAGUAUUCAAUUGUCAGAGGUGAAAUUCUUGGAUUUAUUGAAGACUAACUACUGCGAAAGCAUUUGCCAAGGAUGUUUUCAUUAAUCAAGAACGAAGGUUAGGGGAUCGAAGACGAUCAGAUACCGUCGUAGUCUUAACCAUAAACUAUGCCGACUAGGGAUCGGAUGAUGUUAAUUUUUUCAAUGACUCAUUCGGCGCCUU
rnacentral:misc_RNA from 1 species